rnacentral:rRNA from 1 species
CGGUAAUACGGAGGGUGCGAGCGUUAAUCGGAAUUACUGGGCGUAAAGCGCAUGCAGGUGGUUUGUUUAAGUCAGAUGUGAAAGACCCGGGGCGUCAACCUCGGAAUAGCAUUUGAAACUAGGCAGACUAGAGUACUGUAGAGGGGGGUAGGAAUUUCUAGGUGUAGCGGUGAAAAUGCGUAGAGAUCUGAAGGAAUACCGGUGGCGAAGGCGGCCCCCUCGGACAGAUACUGACACUCAGAUGCGAAAGCGUGGGGACGCAAACAGGAUUAGAUACCCCUGGUAG